UGUAGUCAUAUGCUUGUCUCAAAGAUUAAGCCAUGCAUGUCUAAGUAUAAGCAAUUAUACCGCGAAACUGCGAAUGGCUCAUUAUAUAAGUUAUCGUUUAUUUGAUAGUACCUUACUACUUGGAUAACCGUGGUAAUUCUAGAGCUAAUACAUGCUAAAAAUCCCGACUUCGGAAGGGAUGUAUUUAUUAGAUUAAAAACCAAUGCCCUCCGGGGCUCACUGGUGAUUCAUGAUAACUUCUCGAAUCGCAUGGCCUUGCGUCGGCGAUGGUUCAUUCAAAUUUCUUCCCUAUCAACUUUCGAUGUUUGGGUAUUGGCCAAACAUGGUUGCAACGGGUAACGGGGAAUGGGGCGGGGGCGGCGGGCCGGGCGCGGGGCGCGGCGGGCG
rnacentral:rRNA from 1 species